rnacentral:lncRNA from 1 species
UUUCAGUGCAAUACAGUCCUUUCAUCAAAUAUCUCGGAUAUGUCAUAAAGCAUGGCUCAGUGUCUACUUAUAACGUUUAAUAUUAGUUCUCAUAAUUCAUGACUAACCUUAUGAAUUUACGAAACUAACUUUUCUCAAAUUCAUCAUGCUUUGGCUAGAGACUUUAUACAAGUUAAUCAAGAAUUGAGAACAAGUGACAUACAUCCCCUCAUAUCACUUAGGGUGAUGAAUCCUCUAUUGACCACUCAUUCACCUUCACAUGCUUCGUAGCAUACCCAAAAACACCCUGUUUAGGCAUCUGGUCACCUCCAAACCUGUCAAGGUUAAAUCAAAGAAUGUAAUUCCCUAUACAAGAUGACCUAGUGUCUCAAGUGUGAGGACUAGUUGCACGACUAUCACAUGAGAACAUAUUCCAUAAACACUUGAGUGAAAUACUAAAUAGAGUUCUCAUAGUGGGUCAUGUUUAGUGAACUUGUUCUUUAACAAGCAUUUGCAUAUUAUCCUUGAGUAUCCCAUAUACUUCAAUCUAUGAGAUCGAUUGCUUACUUCCUAAGUGAGGAGGCUUAACAUGUACUAGUCUUUGAACAUUGUUAAUAUCCUGUCUUGACAAUACAAUGACCAAGACCAAUUUUAGGAACAUGGCUUUAAUGCAUAGUGAUCUCAUAAUUGUAACAACCUUACAAUUCUCUUAUGAGGCCUUUAUGUUCCAUGGGCUUCAUUCAAUUAGUACUUAACUCCUUAUUAUUGCACUAACAUGAAGGAAAACCUAUAUCAUAUAUAGUUAUGCGAUUAAGUAUGCAUUAAAUGACAAUAUAUAUUCCUUGACUAAUUCAAUUGGCUCAAGGGCAUAAACCAACACAAACAAGUGAAAUAAGAUGUAUUAAGAGUAAUACAGAGGAAAGUUAGAACAGACCUCGAAGUAUAAGUGUAUGGUAAGUGAUAAAACAAGAUCUAAAAAAUAAGAAAUAGGAAGAAGGAAUGAAGAAAGAGAAGAUUACAGAGAGAACGUGAAAACUUGUGAAAUAUUUACAGUAGGACAGAGUUAACCUAUUUUUGUUGGGGGUUAAAGAUGAAAAGGAAUAAAGAUUAAAAAUUUUGAAAACUAAUAUGUUAAACUUAAUCAACAAUUAAAAUAUUCAUAAUAAAUAAAUAAUUUUCUUUAAUAUGUAAAUCAAAAGGAAUAAGAAAAGAAAGACUUACAAUAACAUUUUAAGAAAGUUGUGCUCGAUGAUAUUUCCCAGACUCAAAUUCAUCAAUUUUUGAUUUUGUAUUGAAAAGGUUAGCAAUGUCUUUCUCAAUAUAAACAAUUAAAUUAUCAACAAGAAUCUUAUUGUCUAUUUCGUUUUAGAGUCUUAUUUUCACAAUUUUCAUUGUUUAAAAAAACUCUUUUAUAGUUGUUGUAGAAACCAAAAGAAUCAAAACAAGGCAAAUUAAUCUAUUAAUGAAAAUUAAUAAAAAAACUGAUAUAUUAAUGAAAUUUUAAGCAACAGCUUACUGUGUAAUCCUAAAAUUUAUAUUAAGAAGUACAUAAUAAUUUUUUAAUCUUUAAAAAUUAAAAUCAUAAAAAAUAAAAUCCGCAUAACAGAAUAAUGAAAAAACAUAGCAAGUAGAAGAUAAAACUUGUUGGCUCCAUUGGUUUUUGAUGAUAAUAAAACAUUCCCAUUUCAUUCGUGUCUAACAUUUCUACCUAAGUGUGCAAGACAAAAAGUCAUAUGGAAAUAAUAAAUCAACCUUUCAAGUAUAUAUCAAAAAUCAUGAAAAUGAAGAAAAACGAUUGAUCAACAAUAAGGAAGGUCUUUAGAUAAAUAAUGAAGAAUGUUGGUUGAUUAAAAUUUGAAUUGGAGAAAUGGCGGGUUGAAGAAUAUUGAGAAACAGAACCAAUUUAGUCAACCAAGAUAAGAGUUAGUCGACAAACAAGCUAUUGCCAAAAUCUAGACUUCAAGACAGAACCAACUUAUUCAACCAAGAAGAAAGUUAAUCGACUAAAUGCUCUUUGCUAGAUUCUGUGACCAGAAGACAAAACCAACUUAGUCCACCAAGAAGAAAGUUAGUGGACUAAGAGCUCUUUAUCUCCAAUUUGAACCAAAGCACUAAAAGACAGAUUAACAGCUAGCACCUACUCUCAACUGUUUUCGAUAACCAUAAACUGCCAAACUACCAUCAGAGGUGUUUCUCCUAGUAUAAAAGGGUCUUCCAACGGUUAGAAAUCAGUUCUUGGAAGUUUUGAAAAGAUUUGAGUCAUAUAGAGCUGAAAAACAAGAAAAUCUCCUUUGCACCUUUCUGCACUUAAACGCCAAUCUUUUGUAUUUGUAUUCUGCACUCAACAUUGUUCCAUUUAGAUCAACCUUGUGAUCAUAGGUACUUUCUUUUACUUCUCUUCUUGCAUUCUUAGAGUGAGGGGGUCACUCUAAGUGGUUGUUUCAAGCUAGGUUUGCUUGAAUGUGUUAAGGUUCUAACAUAGCCUUGAAAAGUUAGGUGUUGGGUUUUAGUUUAGCCCGUGAAAAACUAGUGUAAAAGGUUUGGCUGAGCCUGUUAAAAGCCAUUGUAAAGCUUGGUGAAAGCUUGUAAAUUUCAUCAGUUUUUAGUGGAUUGUUUAGAGAAUCCUUGGUUGGAUAAUCAAGGUAGUGGAUGCAGGUCUUAGACUGAACCACUCUAAAUUCUUCUAUUUCGUUUACUAUGUUUUUGUUUUGUUUUCUUUAUUUCAUUUAUCUUGCAUUUGUCUACACUUAGAGACAAUUUUUGAAAGAGCCAAAUUUGUGCUAUUCACCCCCUCUCUAGCACAUAUUAUUGGGACCAACAAGUGGUAUCAAAGCUAGUUCCCUAUUAUUAAAGUUUAACACUCUUUAGGAGGAUCCAAAUGGCUUAACUAAAAUCAGUAGUUGCUGAGGGAUAAUCAACAAACAUACCACCUCUGUUUGAUGCCUCUAAUUAUCCUUAUUGGAUCACUAGAAUGUCAAUUUACAUUAGAGCUAUAAAUUAUGAAAUGUGGGACGUCAUAACUGAUGGACCCUUUAUUCCCUUAACUUUGAAUGUAGUAACAAUUCAGUUGAUGCCAAAGCCAAGGUCUAAAUGGACUAAGGUUGAAACUAAGAAAGUCCAAACAAAUUUUAAGGCCAUCAACACAUUGCAUUGUGCUUUGACCCCCACUAAAUUCAACAAAGUCUCUAGUUGUACAACAGCUAAACAAGUGUGGGAUAAACUUAGAAUAAUCCAUGAAGGGGCUUUUCAAGUCAAGGAGUCCAAAAUAGCCCUCUUGACACAUAACUAUGAAAUGUUUAAAAUAGAGCCUGGUGAAGAUAUCAUCAGCAUGUUAGAUAGAUUUACAAAUAUCACAAAUAAAUUGAGUCAGCUAGGCAAACUAAUACCCAAGCAUGAAAUAGUUAAAAGACUUCUUAGAAGCCUACAAAAAAAUUAGAAGCCUAAAGUGACUGCAACCCGAGAGGCCAAGGACCUAAAUGUUAUUACCUUAGAUGAGAUUUGUGGUUCUCUCCUUACUUAUGAGCUAGAGCUUAAAGAGGAAGAAGAAAAAGAUAUGAGGGAAGCAAAGGAAAAGAGAAAGAGACUUGCACUUAAAGCCAGCAUUCUUGAAGAAGAGUUAGAAGAGCUGUCAUGUGAUGAUGAUGAAGAGUUAGCUCUGGUUGUAAGAAAAUUCAUAAAGCUUAUGGGCAGAAGAAAUCGGAGACUAGCUAGAAGAGGGUUUAGAAAAGAUCAAAGUGUUUCAUGGAAAAUCAAAAACAAAAAUGACUCCAAUAAAAAGGAGGAGCUGAUCUGCUAUGAAUGAAAUAAACUUGGCCACUUCAAGUCCGAAUGUCCAUUGUUGAAAGAUGAGACUCCAAAGAAAAACAAGAAAUCCAAGAAAGUAAUGGUAGCAGCUGCAUGGUUGGACAGUGACACAUCAAGCUCUGAAGCUGAAGAUAAAAAAUCUAAGGAAAGAGCAAACCUCUGUCUGAUGGCACAAGAUGAUGAAAUUGAGGUAUCUUCAUCCCCCUAUGAUAUUUCCAUUGAUGAUUUACAAAAUGAGUAUGACAGCCUUUAUGAUGAAUUUGAGAAUCUCUUUUUAAAAUACAAGACUUUAAAGAAAAAGGCUACAUCUCUUGAAAAUGAUUUGGAAAAGAUGAUACUAGAGUUCAACUCUGUUUUUGAGCAAAGAAAUUAUCUGCAAAUUGAAUUAGAACGUUCAAAAACAGAUUUUGAAAAUCUACAAUUGGAGUUGAAAAAUAGAACAGAUGCUUUACAAGCUGUAGUUGCUGAAAAUACUACUUUUAAAAAUUUAAGAAAAUAAUCAUCAAGAAAGAGCAUAAAUUUCAGAAAGAAUGCUAAUGAUUUCUCCCUUAGAUGUUAUAGUUGUGGAAAACAUGGACACUUAUCAUAUGAUUGCUUCAAGAAAAGUAACCUAUAGAAAGUUAGAAAAAUUUAGGUUCCAAAAGGAUCUUAUAUUGCCACUAACACUCAAGGACCCAUCAAAGUAUGGGUACCUAUAAAAAAACUGAAAAUCUAUUUUAUAGGUUGAACUGCACUUAAAUGAGACAUGUUCAAGAGCUCAACUCAAGAAGAAGCAGCCUUGGUACAUGGACAGUGACUACUGACAGCACAUGACUGGAGAUGAAUUGUUAUUUGUUUAGUUAGACAAAAGGAAAGGAGGUACCGUGUCCUUUGGUGAUGAUUCAAAAGGUAGAAUUCAUGGUAUAGGAACGGUUGGUAAGAACUCCCAAACUCAAAUUAGUCAUGUGUUGUUAGUUAAGGGUUUGAAGCAUAAUUUAUUGAGCAUUAGUCAAUUAUAUGACAAAGAAUUUGAAGUAUGUUUUGAUUCAAAUAAGUGUGAAGUAAUAGACAUAGAUACAAACAAAGUCUUAUUCAUAGGAAAGAGAUUGAAAAAUAUGUUUGUUGUUUUUCUUGAGGAUCUUGAAAUUAAUAGUGAAAUAUGUCUUGUUGCAAAUGCUAAAAAUGAUAGCUAGUUAUGGCAUAGGAGAUUAGGACAUGUAAGCUUGCAUACUAUGUCAAAAUUGAUUAAAAAGAACUUAGUUGUUGGGCUGCCAGAUUUAAAAUUUGAAAAUGAUAAAAUAUGUGAUGCUUGCCAACUAGGAAGAAAAGUUAGAACAUCCUUUAAAGCUAAGAAAGUUGUGUCAACAUCUAAACCUCUUGAAUUGUUACACAUUGAUUUAUUUGGUUCAAAAAGCACAAUUAGUUUAGGAGGAAAAUCUUAUGGCUUUGUUAUAGUUGAUGAUUAUUUUAGGUACACUUGGGUUUAUUUUCUUGCUCAUAAGAAUGAUGCUCUAUCAGCUUUUAUAAGUCAUUGUAGGAAAGUAGAGAAUGAAAAAGGACUAGCCAUAGUUAGCAUAAGGAGUGAUCAUGGAGGAGAAUUUAAAAGUGAUGAAUUUAAGAAGUCUUACAAUGAAAAGGGAUUGGAUCAUAAUUUUUCUACACCCAGAACACCCCAGCAAAAUGGAGUUGUAGAGAGGAAAAACCGAACCUUAAAAGAAAUGGCUAGAACUAUACUGUGUGAGAAUAACCUACCAAAAUAUUUUUGGGCUAAGGCAGUGAACACAACAACUUAUAUACUUAGUAGAGUAUCAAUUAGAGCCAUGAUUUCAAAGACUCCAUACAAACUUUACAAGGGUAGGAAACCAAAUAUUUCUCACCUUAAGAGUUUUGGUUGUAAAUGUUUUGUAUUGAAUAAUGGAAAACAACCCUUAGGAAAGUUUGAUGGAAAGAGUGACGAAGCAAUAUGUCACGACCUAGUACUCUCCUCGAGCCCGUGACAACCGUCGUAAUGUCCCGAUAGACAUUCAUCGCUCGGAAUGUUGACCGAAACCUCGCAAGGCUUUAAUAUCAGUUUUCUCACCUCCCCUGUGAGCGACAGUUGUUAGAUAUCAUGUUUUGAGAGAUUAUAUACUAUUUCUAAAUCAAAAUAAUAGAAAAAUAAUUUUUGUCUUAUAGGGGCAUUUUCAUCAUUUUUUCUCAAAAAUCUCGAAACCAGCUAAAGAUGUAUGCGAGUGUAUUUCAUAAUAAAAAAUAAGUCUAGAUGUCUAAACAUUCAUUUAAAGUGAAACUAUAAUUAUUUGAAUAUAAUAAAAAUAUUCAAUAAAAUAUUCUAUUUUCUUAUAAAACAAUAUUUAUAGAGUUAUCGAAAAAUAAUUUUUGUAGCGUAAAAGCUAAAUAAAUUCAUACAUACUGUGAUACAGAUAACCAAAGUAUAACAUUUAAUUUACAGUGACACAUGGGCCCACGAACGACCAAAAGUAUCAAAAGCGGUAAACCUACAGUUUUUCGGGAUGCAAGUCCAAUUGUAGCCCUUAACGAAAUGAGCUAUCUACCGACUAUCUUGAGCCUAAAAUGGGUGGAAAGGAGGGUGAUGAGAUUAUAAAAUCUCAAUGAGUAAACAAACAUCAUCUAAAUCAGCAAAAGCUGAGUAAUAGGAGACAAUCAAAAUAUCCCAUCACAAUACGUAUUUUUCAACUUGAAAAUUCAUUCUAACCCAUGCAACUGAUUGUAUUUCGUUUAAUUUCUCAAUAAGGCUUAUGUCACGACCCGGAACUCCCCAUCAGGCCCGUGACAACUGCUGCGAAGCCUCGACAAACAUUCUUCUCCCUGAAUGCUGAUCAAAACCUCAUAAGGCUCUCGUAUCAGCUUUUGCACUUCCCCGUUGAGCAAUAGUUAUCAAAUAUCGUAAUUCGAAAGAUUUCGAGUCAUUUCCAAACCGGAACAUAACAUAUUGUUUUCUGGCUCACAGAGGCAUUUUCGCUAUUUUUCAUCAAAAAUCUCAAAACUUGCUAAAAAUGUAGUAGGUAAGCAGAAAAUAUAUAUUUAGUGAUUUAAAAACAAAUUAAGUAUCUAAAACGUUCAUUUGAAGUGAAAAUUUGACCAUUUGAAUAUAAUAAAAAUAUUCAAUAAAAUAAACUAUUUUCUUGUAAAAUAAUUUUUAUAAAGCUAUCGGUAAAUAAUUCUUAUAGAAAAAAGUUAUUUAUAUUCAUAUAUACUAUAAAGCAAAUAACCAAAGCAUAAAAUUACUUUUACAGCGACACGUGGGCACACAUCUAACCAAAAUGCAUCGGAAGCUGAAAACCUACAGCUUUUACCGAUUCAAGUCCAAAUGAAGGCCCUUGUCAAAGUCAACUAACUAUGAAAUUCCCUGAGCCUGAAAUGUAAGGAAAUGAGGGUGGUGAGAUUAUAAAAUCCCAAUGAGUAAACAGACACCAUCUAAACUAUGCAAAUAAAUGGAGACGAAUUUAAAAUAUUCUUUUCCAAUAUAUGUUUUAUAACAUGAAUAUUCAGUUUACUCAAUUAAUCAACAUGGCUUAUAUAUCUCACAAAACUUGGCUCCUGCCAAAAUCAUUCUUGGGGAUGCCUUGGCCUAGGCAUUUGACCGAGACCACCAAGGCUGUUAAAUGUCUUUACAUCCAAAAUUCUAGCCAUGCCUUGGCGUUGGCUGAGUCUCACUCUCAUGCGGUGGUCCACGUGAAGUGCACUCAAAUCUUUACCUCCAGAGACACCCUCCACACAGCUCUUCGAUCGAGGUAAGGUAUACCUGAUUCUAUGCCCCCUCUUUUAGGCUGGUCCACAAAACCUCAUAUGCAGGGAUUAUGGAUUAUUUUAUCCACCACCUGAUUUAUAAAAUCUUUAUCUGCAUGACAUGGCAAUUUAUUGCAAUCUAGCCUCUCAAGGCUGAAUACAUAGUAUAUAUAAUUUUGAUACAAAUACCGACUUUGCCAUUCAUGCUCACAUAUUGCUAUAAGCCAUAUAAUUAAAAACACAAUUUAUAACACAAGCAAGCAGUCUCCAACUACUCUAAUUUCAAAACCAGUAUUCAAUUUUUCUAGAAAAUUUAUAAAAUCAUUUUAUAAAAUCACAAUUUCUCCUAAAACAUAGCAAUUUACCAUUUAAACCCAUUUUCUAUAAAAUCACACAAUUGAAUAAAACCACUCUAAAUAAUUAUGACGAUAAUAAGUUUACUCACAGUUCUAGGAGUCAAUGUCCUCCUAAUCCCAGUCUUCAAGUACAAUCUCUGUACUUUUACCAGUGUAAUUUGCUCACCACUUAUCCACAAUGUACAAUACAUAAUUCACCACAUUAAUGCUUGACCAUUAUAAAAUCAAUUCAGGCUCGGUGUAUAUGUAUGAUAUGAUAUGCAACUUAUCCGACUAUCGCUUAAAUGCGGUGUUGACCUAAUUCGGCCUAUUACCCGAUUAAAUGAAAAUUGUGUCUGAUUUGUUUCCAAAUUGCUCCAUUUCAUUUCUAAUAUUUCAAUUCACUAAAUACCAUUCCAAUAAUCUAAAAUUCAGCCUAACAACCCUCAAAAUUCUUCUUGAAAAUUUUGGCCAUUGUGGUGCACUAUCACUAAAAAUUUUCCCAUUCCAUUUUCUCACCAUAAAUCAUCAUUUCAUCAAUUUUUCAACCAAUUCACUUGAUCACAAAAUCAAUUCAUUACUUCUACACUUCACAUAGAGUUCAACCAUUGAAGGUUCAUGGGGAAAAUGGAUUUUUUUCUUGUUGUUUUGUUUCUAAACAUACUUAACAAACUCUAAACACCAACAUAACUCAAAAUCAAACAAUUGCAACAUCAUUUCUCUAACCAAACCCAUUCGGCCUACCACUUAUUCACUAUGAAAUCAUGCUUCUCAACCAUAGAAAUAAGAAAAUAAAGCAUGGGUAUUGUAAAUCUCAAGUAAAAAUAAAGAAUUUUCACUUUACCUUGCUUAAUUCCUUGGAUUUUCACACUUUCUCUUCAAUUUUCCCCACCUAGGGUUUGUGUUCUUUCCUUUCCUGUUCACUUCAUGCUUUG